rnacentral:rRNA from 1 species
GUUUGAUCCUGGCUCAGAUUGAACGCUGGCGGCAUGCUUUACACAUGCAAGUCGAACGGCAGCACGGGGGCAACCCUGGUGGCGAGUGGCGAACGGGUGAGUAAUGCAUCGGAACGUACCCAGUCGUGGGGGAUAACGCAGCGAAAGUUGUGCUAAUACCGCAUACGACCUGAGGGUGAAAGCGGGGGACCGUAAGGCCUCGCGCGAUUGGAGCGGCCGAUGUCUGAUUAGCUAGUUGGUGGGGUAAAGGCCCACCAAGGCGACGAUCAGUAGCGGGUCUGAGAGGAUGAUCCGCCACACUGGGACUGAGACACGGCCCCAGACUCCUACGGGAGGCAGCAGUGGGGAAUUUUGGACAAUGGGGGCGAACCCUGAUCCAGCCAUGCCGCGUGCGGGAAGAAGGCCU